UUCCGUAGGUGAACCUGCGGAAGGAUCAUUACCAGUGCCACCGGCGCUCACCCGGACAGCUUCUUUUUUUAAAGAGUUUCCGGGUGCAACGUCGGUCUGAGCCCUCACCCAUGAGUACUAUACUUUUAUGUUGCCUCGGCGAGCCUUGCUAUACUGUGUUGUAUAGCUGCCGGGGGGAGAAUUUCCGGGGCGCUUCGGCGCUUUGGUUUUCCCGGGCUUGUGUUCGCCGAUGGAAUAUUGAAUUUCUGAUGAAGCUAUGUUUUGUCUGAGUAAUUUAUUAAUUAAAUAAAACUUUCAACAACGGAUCUCUUGGUUCCGGCAUCGAUGAAGAACGCAGCGAAAUGCGAUAAGUAGUGUGAAUUGCAGAAUUCCGUGAAUCAUCGAAUCUUUGAACGCACAUUGCGCCCUCUGGUAUUCCGGAGGGCAUGCCUGUCCGAGCGUCAUUGCAACCCUCAAGCACGGCUUGCGUGAUGGGUCAUUUUUUGUCCUUUAUUUAUUAUAAAUGGGGACAGGCCCGAAAGGCAGUGACAGCGUUUUAACGCAAGUGUCUGAGUGAAAUGGGAAAUUUUUUUUUUUAAAAACCUGCACUCAAAAGACCUGGUUAACGCUUGUCGGUCAACUAACUAUUUUUCUUCGGUUGACCUCGGAUCAGG
rnacentral:misc_RNA from 1 species